rnacentral:rRNA from 1 species
UAGGGAAUAUUGCACAAUGGGCGAAAGCCUGAUGCAGCAACGCCGCGUGUGCGAUGAAGGCCUUCGGGUCGUAAAGCACUUUUCAGGGAGAUGAGAAAGGACAGUAUCUCAGGAAUAAGUCUCGGCUAACUACGUGCCAGCAGGCGCGGUUCAACGUAGGAGGCAAGCGUUAUCCGGAUUCACUGGGUUUAAAGCGCGUGCAGGCGGUUCGGUAAGUUGGGCGUGAAAUCUCCUGGCUCAACUAGGAGAGGUCGUUCAAUACUACCGGGCUUGAGAGUGGUAGAGGACGAUGUAAUUCCCGGUGUAGUGGUGAAAUGCGUAGAUAUCGGAAGGAACACCAGUGGCUAAGGCGAUCUUCUGGACCAUUUCUGACGC